rnacentral:rRNA from 1 species
AGGUGGUGCAUGGUUGUCGUCAGCUCGUGUCGUGAGAUGUUGGGUUAAGUCCCGCAACGAGCGCAACCCUCGACCUUAGUUGCCAGCAUUCAGUUGGGCACUCUAAGGUGACUGCCGGCUAAAAGUCGGAGGAAGUGGGAUGACGUCAAAUCAUCAUGCCCCUUAUGACCUGGGCUACACACGUGCUACAAUGGUUGGUACAACGAGUUGCGAGUCGGUGACGGCGAGCUAAUCUCUUAAAGCCAAUCUCAGUUCGGAUUGUAGGCUGCAACUCGCCUACAUGAAGUCGGAAUCGCUAGUAAUCGCGGAUCAGCACGCCGCGGUGAAUACGUUCCCGGGCCUU